AAGUAAUGCACAUAAGCAUUUAACACAGUGCUUGGUACAUACUGAUAUUCAAUAAAUGUUAGCUGUUAAUUAUUGCAUAUUUUUAUAUGCAAUAUACAAUAUUAGAAUUGCAAGAUGAACUGUCCUGGAAUGCCUAGCACUCUGUGGAGAUGCGGAGGAGGUGUCCUGGGACAAAGCACUGAACCAGGCUGUUACUCUGUUACCCAGGCUGGAGUGGUGCAAUGGCACAAUCUCAGCUCACUGCAACCCCUGCCACUGCAACCCUUGCCUCCCAGGUUCAAGUGCUUCUCUUGCCUCAGCCUCCCAAGUAGCUGGGAUUACAGGCACCUGCCACCACACCUGGCUGAUUUUUGUAUUUUUAGUAGAGACGGGGUUUCACCCUGUUGGCCAAGCUGGUCUCAAACUCCUGACCUCAAGUGAUCUGCCUGCCUCAGCCUCCCAAAAUGCUGGGAUUACAGGCGUGAGCCACCAUGCCCAGCCAGGUAUGCAUUUUAUAGUGUAUGAAUCAUACCUCAAAAUUUAUAAAAAUAAAAAAGGAUUUUAAAAAAUGAACAGCCCUUUAGGUAUGGGAGGAGGCAAGGAGUAAGAAAGGUGAAUGGACUCUGCAUUACCACUUGCCAAUCGCUAGAUGUUUCCAUGUUAUAGUGGAAGGAAUGCAAACAAUAAUUUUUCCCAUUUUUUUUUUAUGUCCACCAUGUAACUGGGCAUGCAGAAUUUUUUUUUUUUUUUUUUUUUUUUGAGACGGAGUCUCGCUCUGUCGCCCAGGCUGUAGUGCAGUGACGCAUCUCGGCUCACUGCAAGCUCCGUCUCCCGGGUUCACGCCAUUCUCCUGCCUCAGCCUCCUGAGUAGCUGGGACUACAGGCGCCCACCACCACGCCCAGCUAAUUUUUUGUAUUUUUUUUUUUUUUAGUAGAGAUGGGGUUUCACCGGGUUAGCCAGGAUGGUCACGACCUCCUGACCUCGUGAUCUGCCUGCGUCAGCCUCCCAAAGUGCUGGGGUUACUGGCGUGAGCCACCGCUCCCGGCAACAGGCAGACUUUUAACACAUUCCUUACCUAAGCUUUUAAAAGGGACGAAAGAUAUAUGUCUUUGGUUUGGGAGAUGACGAAACAUAUGCUUUAAUGACUAUUGGGUUGGAAUCUUCUUGAGAGAGGAUCCUUAGCCUAGACUAGAGUCUUCAAAAGCCCACAGUGCUUCGUACAGUUUCAUACGUGGAAGGGAGAAGGAUGUUCCACUGGAAAAGCAGAAUUGCAGCUGAGCUGUCCUGGAAUGCCCAGCACUCUGUGGAGACGCGGAGGAGGUUUCCUGGGACACAGUGCUGAACCAGAUGGUGAAGCCAAGGCCUGAAGACCUUUCCUGCAAGGUGACAGAGGAAGAGACAGAAGGACCAGAACCCAGCUCCCCUGACUCCCCAUCCAGUGCCCUUCUCAUAGAUUACAUUGCUUCAGCAUCCACUCGGCUAUUGCUCCAUUCAGGGGUUACACGAGUCACUGACUGUUUUGGUUGCUUCUUGGUUGGAGGAUGUUGUGCCUCACCGAUGAGGGCCGGAAGAAAAGGUACCAGUUCUUAGAGGAAGCAUAGGAAUGUGUCCCUUCCUGCUCGGGUCUCUCAACUGAACUCAACCCUUCCUUGAUUGAUUGACAGGCAUGUUAUCUCUUAUAAUCCCUGCCAGGGAAUCAAAAUAGACAUAGAAGAAUUCGCAGAAAGAACAACAGAUCUGCAGUUGGAGCUGUGGCUCUGCCUCUAAGACUCUCCCUUUAUGACUUUGAACAAGUCAUUUCACCCUCUCGAGGCCUCGAUUUCCUCAUCGAUAGUUUGGGGUACAACUAGGUGUCCUGUAAUUGGUGCCUUUCAGCUCUAAUCAAAACAAAAACAAGACCCAAGCAAACAUCAUCACUGACAGAUCUGAGGGAAUCCAGCUCAGAUCUUCCUGGUGUCAUCUCUGAUCAGAAAUCAGGGAACCAACCCUGACCUUAAUGGCCCUUCUAGGGGUGUGCUCUUCCCCUGGGCAGAGCCAAUCCCCAGGGAAGCAGAAACUCCUACUUGCCAAACUCCUGGCCAGUCACACCCGCUUUGCCAUCCUGGAGAAGGAGGGACUGUUGUGGAGCUUGUGGCAAAAUCCCUCUUCCUCCCCCAAACACAGCUAUGAUUAGCUGUGUCCUCACCACAGAACUGCAGGGGUGUGUGCGGGUGAGUCAUAGCUGUUCAAAUCACAUUUAUAGAGAGCUCGCAUGGCAGGGGGCUUGGUGGCUGUCAGAGGCACCCCAGUUCCCUUUCUCUACCCCCAACAAUUGCUGAGAUUUUAGGAUCCAGGCAUUUGGGUUACAGAGUUUCAGAAUCAUCUGCUGAUGCCACCGGCUUCUUCUGCCAGGCCCCAGCCACCCAGAGCGUCUCCCCUGGAGGAGGAGGGGGCUUGGUCCUCAUCCCAUUGCCCACCCCAUCCCACCUGGGAGAGCUGUCCCAGGGUCAGACCCAGGCCUGAAUUGUCACUGUCUCUCACCGCCCUCUCCCUGGGGCCUACCAUCCCCAGGACCACUCCGAAGGAAUCAGGUACUAUCUCCAGGUGUGAACCCCACAACCUCCAGGAGGCCCAGCUCCUGCCACUCCAUGCCCUAAGCUCACUCAUAGCUGUUGGCACAGGUGUCCCAGCCUCUCUGAGCUGUGCACUAUGGUCUCAAAUGCCCUCUCCCACUCCCUUUCCACCCAGCCAUGGGGACCCUGACAGCUCCCAUCAGGAGCUGAGAAAGAAGCAGAGGCCUCUUUGGUGGAGGAAUCCUGGCAGGCUGGCAAGUCCCAACAGGCCGAUGUUGGGCUGCUGCAGGCAGACAGUGAGUCACCUGGGUCCCCGCUUCUUACAGGACAGAGCCAGAAUAAUGACAAUAAUAAUAGAGAUCCAGGGUGCUGUUAUUAACGCCCACCUUUCCUCCCAGGACCCUGUCUCCUUUAUCCAUCUGACAGCCCUUGGGGCAGGGAGGGGCCGAGGGCCCAAGAGAUUUUGUUGCCCUGUCUUAAAUAGGGGGGAAACUGAGGCUAAAGUUGUUUCCCACUGAACUGCUAGUCCUGAGAAGAGGACUCUGCCUCCUAAUGUCCCUGAUGCCAGGAAAGUUCUGCAGCCCCACAGUUAGUGGUCUCCUCACUGGCAAGGCUCUAGGCUCAGGGAGGAAACAACCCACAUUUCUGGAUUUCUCACACUCUGUCCUCUAACCCUUACUUACAACAACAGCUCUAGGGACUAGUUAUGAUUAUUAUCCUCAUUUGAUGGAUGAGGAACUUGAAGUUCAGAGAGGCUAGGUAAAUUCCCAAGGUCAUGCAGCAAAGGAGAAGCAGGCCCAAGAUGUGAAGCCAGGUUGGUUUGACUGUGCUUUCUCACUCAGGGUCCUAUAAUCCAGGAUCUAGAGUUUCCAAGUCUGGCUUCCUAGGCCUUUUGGGCCUGUUCUUCCUCCAUUGCCUUCCCCACCUGGGCUGCCUCUAUCUCAAGAUUAGGAUUCCUCCCAGGGCCCCCUGGAGGCCAGCUUUCAUUUUCAUCUUGAGCAGCCGUGGAAAAGUAAGGACUCAACCGCUUUAAUUUUGGGGUGUUAGUAAUUAUCUGACACUCACCACCCACUCAACUCUGCCCACUAGUUAUUAUAAUAAUAACAAUAAUAAUUUAGAGAAGCAGUGGCAAUGAUACAGUGUUCAUGGAAUCCGGGACUGGGCAGAGAUAGAUACAGCCUCACACUUCCUUUUUCUAUCAGUGUGGUGCUGGUUUUGGGAGUAAGGACUUUUGGAGUCUUGUCAGUUCUGGCAAGGAUGCCGUAUAUCACAUGACUGAGUGAGCCCCUAAAUGCCUGUGUGCCUCCAUUUCCCCCUCUGUAAAAUGUGGGAAAGAGUCUUGCAAGAUGAUGUGCUUUCAGCUUCUUGAAAUAAAGUCGUGAUAAGCAACCUUUUCCUUUUCACCACCCUAUAGUCACUAUUUACAAUGACCCAGGAGUCUGAUGCCUAAAUGAUACAUUAUCUUCAUGCUCCAGUCUCCCACUGUCUGACUGCCCAGCUCUUCUUUGACGAGAGAUCUCACCGAUUGCUGCCUUUGGCCUUGGGAAGGGUGAUGGGCUGGGCUGGAGGCCUGGGCUGAGCUCUGGGGUGCAGGGGGAGCCUCAGCUUUUCCAGCCCUCAUCCUCAACGGCUGCUUCUGCCAAGGCCCUGGAGCUACAAAAAGCAAGACCAGUGCCUGAGUGCAAUAAAUGCUUUUAUUAGUCCUUUUAUUAAUGACGGUUGGUAUUUGUUGAGAAGCUGGGACAAUAGUUAUUCCAGUAAGAGGAUAUUAAGCUCCCUCGAACAGGCCCUGUAUAUCUAACAGGCUCUGGCCUCCAGCCUCCCUGACACAGCUUUGUUACACUGCAGCACACCCCUGGCCUCCUAGCAACUCCAAGAAGGGAGAGGAGGGAUGGGGGAGGUAGGGAUAAUCUGGUGUCAUUAAACACACAGGCCUUUGUGGAGGUUACUGUACACCAACAGCAGGAAGCUUUUUCUUCCUUCUGAGAGCAUAGGGAGCCUAUAUGAUUUUGCUUUGUUUUUUUUUUUUUUUUUCUACCCCUGUACUCUUGGCUGUUUUACCUCCAGAGCUGCUGGUGAUAAGUUCGUAAAGGAGGACCUCCUUAAACCAUUUGUUAAACCAUAUGAGACUGUUCCUAGUACUUGUUUUAAACUAUUUUACAUUAUUUUUAAUGUAAUAAACACAUUUAUAAUACU